rnacentral:rRNA from 1 species
GACGAACGCUGGCGGCGUGCUUAACACAUGCAAGUCGAACGGAAAGGCCCUGCUUUUGUGGGGUGCUCGAGUGGCGAACGGGUGAGUAACACGUGAGUAACCUGCCCUUGACUUUGGGAUAACUUCAGGAAACUGGGGCUAAUACCGGAUAGGAGCUCCUGCUGCAUGGUGGGGGUUGGAAAGUUUCGGCGGUUGGGGAUGGACUCGCGGCUUAUCAGCUUGUUGGUGGGGUAGUGGCUUACCAAGGCUUUGACGGGUAGCCGGCCUGAGAGGGUGACCGGCAACAUUGGGACUGAGAUACGGCCCAGACUCCUACGGGAGGCAGCAGUGGGGAAUAUUGCACAAUGGGCGGAAGCCUGAUGCAGCAACGCCGCGUGCGGGAUGACGGCCUUCGGGUUGUAAACCGCUUUCGCCGGUGACGAAGCGUGAGUGACGGUAAUGGGUAAAGAAGCACCGGCUAACUACGUG